rnacentral:rRNA from 1 species
AGCUCCAAUAGCGUAUAUUAAAGUUGUUGCAGUUAAAAAGCUCGUAGUUGGAUUUGUGGUUGUCUGCGUCCGAUCUUCACUUUUGGUGUUGGUUGUGUUUGCAGUCGCCAUCCUUGGGUGGAUCCUGUGUGGCAUUAGGUUGUCGUGCAGGGGAUGCCCAUCGUUUACUGUGAAAAAAUUAGAGUGUUCAAAGCAGGCUUAUGCCGUUGAAUAUAUUAGCAUGGAAUAAUAAGAUAGGACCUUGGUACUAUUUUGUUGGUUUGCGCACCUGGGUAAUGAUUAAUAGGGACAGUUGGGGGUAUUCGUAUUCCAUUGUCAGAGGUGAAAUUCUUGGAUUUUUGGAAGACGAACUACUGCGAAAGCAUUUACCAAGGAUGUUUUCAUUAAUCAAGAACGAAAG